UACGUAGGGUGCAAGCGUUAAUCGGAAUUACUGGGCGUAAAGCGUGCGCAGGCGGUUUUGUAAGUCUGUCGUGAAAUCCCCGGGCUCAACCUGGGAAUUGCGAUGGAGACUGCAAGGCUAGAAUCUGGCAGAGGGGGGGUAGAAUUCCACGUGUAGCAGUGAAAUGCGUAGAGAUGUGGAGGAACACCGAUGGCGAAGGCAGCCCCCUGGGUCAAGAUUGACGCUCAUGCACGAAAGCGUGGGGAGCAAACAGGG
rnacentral:rRNA from 1 species